rnacentral:rRNA from 1 species
GUGUCAGCAGCCGCGGUAAUACAGAGGGUGCGAGCGUUAAUCGGAAUUACUGGGCGUAAAGCGCGCGUAGGCGGCUUCGCAAGUCGGGUGUGAAAUCCCCAAGCUCAACUUGGGAACUGCAUUCGAGACUGCGUUGCUAGAGUAUGGGAGAGGGAAGUGGAAUUUCAGGUGUAGCGGUGAAAUGCGUAGAUAUCUGAAGGAACAUCAGUGGCGAAAGCGACUUCCUGGACCAAUACUGACGCUCAUGUGCGAAAGCGUGGGGAGCAAACAGGAUUAGAUACCCUCGUAGUCC